CUGCAGCCCGAGUGGUGAUCGAUUUUAUUGAGCCUAAAGCGUCCGUAGCCGGUCUAGUAAACCCUUGGGUAAAUUGAGCAGCUUAACUGUUCGAAUUCCGAGGGGACUGCUAGACUUGGGACCGGGAGAGGUCAGAGGUACUCCAGGGGUAGGGGCUAAAUCCGAUAUGCUUUCGUGGCAUUCGGUUAGCAUUCCUGUAAUCCUUGGGGGACCACCAGUGGCGAAGGCGUCUGACUAGAACGGAUCCGACGGUAAGGGACGAAACCCUGGGGCGCGAACCGGAUUAGAUACCCGAGUAGUCC
rnacentral:rRNA from 1 species